rnacentral:misc_RNA from 1 species
CUUCUUCGAGGUUAAGGACCUCACCGAGAGUGAUUCCAAUGUUUUAUUGGGGGAAAAAGAGUAUAAUCUUUGAAUUACAAAGAAAGUUCAAUCUUUCAUAAUUUUCUACUUUUUUUUUUUUCUCCUUUUUCCCACUCACUGUCUCUAUGUUUGCUGGACUAUGAUAUAUCAUCAUUGGUUGAGAAUUGAUCUUCAAUUGACAUAGCAUUGGCGGUUUUGGUUCAAUCCAAUUUCUUUCACUUUUGUCUGCUAUAUAGGAUUUUUCUGGAUUAAAGAACAUUUCCCGGGUCUCGCUUUUCUCCCAAUUUUCAUCUCAUCUUGGUGAAAAUCUUAUAUGGGUU